GACGAACGCUGGCGGCGUGCUUAACACAUGCAAGUCGAACGGAAAGGCCCUGCUUUUGUGGGGUGCUCGAGUGGCGAACGGGUGAGUAACACGUGAGUAACCUGCCCUUGACUUUGGGAUAACUUCAGGAAACUGGGGCUACUACCGGAUCGGAGCUCCUGCUGCAUGGUGGGGGUUGGAAAGUUUCGGCGGUUGGGGAUGGACUCGCGGCUUAUCAGCUUGUUGGUGGGGUAGUGGCUUACCAAGGCUUUGACGGGUAGCCGGCCUGAGAGGGUGGCCGGCCACAAGGGGACUGAGAGACGGAGCAGACGCGUACGGGAGGCAGCGGUGGGGAAUAUGGCACAAUGGGAGGAAGCCUGAGGCAGAAACGCCGCGGGCGGGAUGACGGCCUGCGGGUUGUAAACCGCUUUCGCCUGUGACGAAGCGGGAGUGACGGUAAUGGGUAAAGAAGCACCGGCUAACUACGUG
rnacentral:rRNA from 1 species